rnacentral:rRNA from 1 species
CUUACCCUACGGGGGGCAGCAGUCGAGAAUCAUUCACAAUGGGGGAAACCCUGAUGGUGCGACGCCGCGUGGGGGAAUGAAGGUCUUCGGAUUGUAAACCCCUGUCAUGUGGGAGCAAAUUAAAAAGAUAGUACCACAAGAGGAAGAGACGGCUAACUCUGUGCCAGCAGCCGCGGUAAUACAGAGGUCUCAAGCGUUGUUCGGAUUCACUGGGCGUAAAGCGUGCGUAGGCUGUUUCGUAAGUCGUGUGUGAACGUCGCGGGCUCAACCCGCGUACGGCACCUGAUACUGCGAGACU